rnacentral:rRNA from 1 species
GGAAUCUUCCACAAUGGACGAAAGUCUGACGGAGCAACGCCGCGUGAGUGAAGAAGGGUUUCGGCUCGUAAAACUCUGUUGUUAAAGAAGAACAUAUCUGAGAGUAACUGUUCAGGUAUUGACGGUAUUUAACCAGAAAGCCACGGCUAACUACGUGCCAC